rnacentral:rRNA from 1 species
GACAGAGGGUGCAAACGUUGCUCGGAAUUACUGGGCGUAAAGCGCGUGUAGGCGGACCGGAAAGUCGGGCGUGAAAUCCCUAGGCUCAACCUAGGAACUGCACUCGAAACUUCCGGCCUUGAGUGGUGGAGAGGGAAGUGGAAUUCCUGGUGUAGAGGUGAAAUUCGUAGAUAUCAGGAGGAACACCGGUGGCGAAGGCGGGUCUCUGGGCAGUAACUGACGCUGAGGAGCGAAAGCGUGGGGAGCGAACAGG